ensembl:lncRNA
GGAAGACCAAGAUGGAGAGUUUAAAGCUAAAUCCUGCUUGGGCUAUCCCAGGUGAUUUUAUGUCCCUCUGCCAGAAAAAAAAGAAACAUGACCACUCUCUAGAGCCUCUUGAUGAAGGUGAAAAAGGAGAGUGAAAAAGCUGGCUUAAAACUCAACAUUCAAAAAACUAAGAUCAUGAGAUCUGGUCCCAUCAUUUCAUGACAAAAGAAGGGGGAAAGGUGGAAGCAGUGACAGAUUUUGGGUGCUCCAAAAUCACUGCAGAUGCUGACUACAGCCAUGAAUUCAAAGAUACUGGCUCUUUGGAAGGAAAUCAAUGACAAGCCUAGAUAGCAUAUUAUAAAGCAAAGACAUCACUUUACUGACAAAGGCCCAUACAGCCAAAGUUACGGUUUUUCCAGUAGUCAUGUAUGGAUGUGAGAGUUGGACUAAAAAGAAAGUUGAGCGCUGAAGAAUUGAUGCUUUUGAACUGUGGUGCUGGAGAAGAUUCUUGAGAGUCCCUUGGGCAGAAAGGAGAUCAAACCAGUUAAUCCUAAAGGAAACCAACCCUGAAUACUUAUUGAAAGGACUGAUGCUAAUUGAAGCUCCAGUACUUUGGCCACCUGAUGUGAAGAGACAACUCAUUGGAAACGACUCUGAUUCUGGGAAAGAUUGAAGACAAAAGGAAAAGGGGACAGUAGAGGAUGAGAUGGUUAGAUGGUACCACUGACUCAAUGGACAUUAAUUUGAGCAACCUCUGGGAGAUAGUGAAGGACAGGGAAGCCUGGCCUGCUGCAGUCCAGGGAGUCACAAAGAGUCGGACAUGAUUUAGUGACUGAACAACAACAGAAUCCUAGGAUGCUUUCCUGAGUGACUAUGCUUUGAGUGUUUGUCUUUCUAAUCUUUAUUCCAUGAAAGACCUUAGAACAUAUGCAGGGGAGGGCGGUAGGGAAAACACUAAAAAUUCAGGCCAUAUCUCCUUGGCCCUGUGAUAUGAUGAAAAUAGCUCCUUGAGACUUGGAGAUGUCAACAUGCUGAAUGCAUGACAGGCAGUGAAAGAGAAUUGCUCCAACACAUUAUUCUUAUGGGCUCAUUGGCUCAAGUUGUGGAAUAAUAGAAAUAAACCUGUUUGAAAAUAUAACAUCACAUUUACAGAUAGACUUAAAACCCUGAG